CGCUGCUUCGACUUUUACUAAGCAGCGCUGCUAACAAUCCUCGCAAAUUUUAAGGCC
rnacentral:snRNA from 1 species